rnacentral:rRNA from 1 species
AGUGAACGCUGGCGGCAGGCUUAACACAUGCAAGUCGAGCGCCCCGCAAGGGGAGCGGCAGACGGGUGAGUAACGCGUGGGAAUCUACCGUACCCUACGGGAUAGCUCCGGGAAACUGGAAUUAAUACCGUAUACGCCCUACGGGGGAAAGAUUUAUCGGGGUAUGAUGAGCCCGCGUUGGAUUAGCUAGUUGGUGGGGUAAAGGCCUACCAAGGCGACGAUCCAUAGUUGGUCUGAGAGGAUGAUCAGCCACAUUGGGACUGAGACACGGCCCAAACUCCUACGGGAGGCAGCAGUGGGGAAUAUUGGACAAUGGGCGCAAGCCUGAUCCAGCCAUGCCGCGCGAGUGGUGAAGGCCUUAGGGUCGUAAAGCUCUUUCACCGGUGAAGAUAAUGACGGUAACCGGAGAAGAAGCCCCGGCUAACUUCGUGCCAGCCGCCGCAGUAA